GAUGAAGAACGUAGCAAAAUGCGAUAAGUAAUGUGAAUUGCAGAAUUCAGUGAAUCAUCGAAUCUUUGAACGCACAUUGCGCCCGCCAGUAUUCUGGCGGGCAUGCCUGUUCGAGCGUCAUUUCAACCCUCAAGCACAGCUUGGUGUUGGGACUCGCGUUAAUUCGCGUUCCCCAAAUUGACUGGCGGUCACGUCGAGCUUCCAUAGCGUAGUAGUAAAACCCUCGUUACUGGUAAUCGUCGCGGCCACGCCGUUAAACCCCAACUUCUGAAUGUUGACCUCGGAUCAGGUAGGAAUACCCGCUGAACUUAAGCAUAUCAAUAAGCGGAGGA
rnacentral:misc_RNA from 1 species